UGGGGAAUAUUGCACAAUGGGCGCAAGCCUGAUGCAGCCAUGCCGCGUGUGUGAAGAAGGCCUUCGGGUUGUAAAGCACUUUCAGCGAGGAGGAAGGUGGUGAGCUUAAUACGCUCAUCAAUUGACGUUACUCGCAGAAGAAGCACCGGCUAACUCCGUGCCAGCAGCCGCGGUAAUACGGAGGGUGCAAGCGUUAAUCGGAAUUACUGGGCGUAAAGCGCACGCAGGCGGUUUGUUAAGUCAGAUGUGAAAUCCCCGGGCUCAACCUGGGAACUGCAUUUGAAACUGGCAAGCUAGAGUCUCGUAGAGGGGGGUGAGAAUUCCAGGUGUAGCAGGUGAAAUGCGGUAGAGAUCGUGGAGGAAUCACCGGAUGGCGCCAAGGUGCGGCCCCCUGGAACGAAGACUGACG
rnacentral:rRNA from 1 species